UGGUGGCGCUGUCACUUGGUGUUCGCUCGCUUUGUGUAACACAAUCGUACAGCACGAUAUCGCCUACAAUCCCACAACCUCUUGAUAUAACUACGGAUGAUCCAUGUUAUAAAUGUGAAGAUGGCUGGAAGCAACAUGGAGAAAAGUGUUAUUUUUUCUCUACAAGCAAAUCAUCCUGGAAUGAGAGCAGCACUGAAUGUAUCACUAAAGGAGGAGACCUGGUUAAGAUAGACAGCAGUGAGGAGCAGCUAUGACGACAUUUUCUGGAUCGGACUGACAGACUCAGCAGUAGAGGGCAGAUGGUUGUGGGUGGAUGGCUCACCGCUGAAUGAAAGUUUGACAUUUUGGUUCUUUCAUGAGCCAGAUGAUUGGACUGGAGAAGAUCCUGAUGGAGAGGACUGUGCAAGGAUGGGGCCAGUGUAUUGGUUUGAUAUUUCCUGCAAAGUAAAUCAUAGAAGUAUUUGUGAGAAA